rnacentral:rRNA from 1 species
UACGUAGGUGGCAAGCGUUGUCCGGAAUCACUGGGCGUAAAGCGCGCGCAGGCGGCGAUCUACGUCUGGGGUGAAAGCCCGGAGCUCAACUCCGGGACUGCCUUGGAUACGGGAUCGCUUGAGGAUUGGAGAGGCAAGGGGAAUUCCACGUGUAGCGGUGAAAUGCGUAGAGAUGUGGAGGAACACCUGUGGCGAAGGCGGCCUUCUGGACGGAUACUGACGCUGAGACGCGAAAGCGUGGGGAGCAAACAGG